AAGGAGUAAUAGAGCUGGGUAUCAUCCACAUACAUACAUGUUGAAAGUAUUAUAAUGUUACAAAAUUAUAUUGUUCAUGUACCUUUAACAGGUAAUAUGCUUUGUCAAUUUGAUACAGGUGGAGCUGUGUUUGUUAUAUAUAUAUUCUUUGCACUUUGCACUCUGCCUGUUCUGCUGUGUUUUUCUCUCUGAGUUUUGUUUUGUUCUUGCAUUAUGCUUCUGUAUUAAAUUAAGUUUGACCACAUUACUUCAGGGCUUUUGUUUCUGCUGCAGCUUUAUUUUUUAAUACUCUGCAACCUAAGGAUUUUACCUUUGCUAACAGGUUAUGGGCCCAGAAAACUACAAAGCCAAUGUGUUUGUGCUGAUGUUUUAUUUUGAAGUAUGUGGUUUGAAAAGUUUUUUUUGCUCCUGCUGUUUUGAAGAGCAGCGAAGUUUAAAAGCGGCAGUUUGCUGCUGAAUGCUGAACCUUGGGAGAGACCUGGAGGCAUGAAGAAGAUUUAUAGCCUGCUAUGGUGAAGUGUUUGUUUGGUUUGCCUUCUACAUGCUUGUGCAACUAGGGCCAAUUUUUUAUUGCUUUCCUUUUAUGCCUUGCAUGGAAGGUUUUCUCUUCAGUAAAUAUUUUGGAAGCUGAAAGAAGAAACUAAAAGUCUGUGAGUCAGACCCUGCUUGUAUUCCAAAGAAAUACAGCGAAGUUUGGAAGAAACCAGUAAUUUCAUGGAGGAGUGAGUAAAGACUGGCUGGUCUGAAACCCUUUUUCUGGAACUUUGGAGCUUUAAAGUAAAAGAACACAAUGGCCUUGCCGCCUGUUCAAGUGAGUUCACUCCCGUUUGAGAGACUGAAUGAUAAGAAUUGGCUGAGUUGGAGUAUAAGAUUUAAAGCUUAUCUGGUUUCUCAGAAUUUAUGGAAAAUAAUUGAGAAUUUGCCAGCUCAAUUAACUCCUGCUGAGCAACACCAAGAUGAAAGAGCAUUGGCGCUGCUUCAGUUGUCUGUGACGGAUUUUUUGUUGGUUCACCUUCAUAAUAUUCCUCAUGCACAAACUGCAUGGAAUUUGUUUAAAGAUAUGUUCCAAAGACAAUCAAGUGGCUCAAAGAUAAUUCUUAUGCACCAGCUGUUUAACCUCAAACAUGAGGAAGGCACUCCAGUUCAAUCUCACAUUACAAAAGUUGUGGCUCUUUUUUCAGAAUUGAGAGCAAGAGAUAUUAUUUUUCCUCCUGAGCAACAAGCAUUAAUUUUAAUGGGGUCUUUAUCUCUCUCUUAUUAUGCAUUUAUUGACUCUCUUCAUGGAAUUCCAGACAUGGAUCUCACGAUACCGUUUAUUUUGGGGAAAAUAAUGGAAUUUGAAGCUCAACGUAAAUUGGGAAGUGUUGAUUCUAUACAGAAGAAUCUGGGAACUGUUUCUAAGGACACUGCUUGUAAAGACACUGCUUGUGUUGCUAAGCCAAAAUCACAAGUUGUAUGCUAUAAAUGCAAAAAGAAAGGGCAUUAUGCUAAGAAUUGCUGGCAGAAUCCAGGACAAUGGAAAAAUAAGCAGGUGGAGAGACCUAGUUCUUCAAAGGAUUUUCAGCAUGCUUUCCUGGUGACUUCUAAAAUGGAUACCAUGAACUCUUUCAUCAUUGACUCGGGCUGUUCUCAACAUUUGGUAAAGUGUAAGGAACUGUUAUCAAAUGUGAGAGACUCUGAUAUAAAUUUUAUUUCUUUGGCAGAUGAUAGAAAAGUACAAGUAAUUUCUUGUGGUGAUCUUUAUGUUGAUCGUCUGAAAUGUACUUUUGAGAAUGUGUACUAUGUAAAAGAAAUUGUGUAUAAUAUUCUCAGUGCCAACAUACUUUUGGAUGAAGGUUUUGAGGUGUCUUUAAAGAAAGAAAAGUCUAUGCUGGUUGAUCCUCAAGGUAACGAAGUGAAACUGAUACAAGAAAAGGGAUUUUUUAUUUUAAAGUCAUCUGAUAAUGCUAAUAUGUCUGCUUGCAUUAACCAGAUACCUGAUAAUCCCAGGCCAUUACAUAGCAAAUGUAUUCAUGAAUUUCAUAGAAAAAUGGGUCAUUUGUCAUGGCAGUAUUUAAGGCAGACAGCUGAGUUGUGUGAGAUUCCUAUUCAAGGAUGUAAGAAUUUUCUAGAUUGUGAAAUUUGUGCAUCAGAAAAUCUUAAGAAAGCUCCUAUUGCAAAAUACAGUACUAGAGUUUCAAAAAGGAUCUUAGAGCUUGUUCAUAUUGACAUAUCUGGUCCUCACCCUACUUCUGUAGGAGGGUCAAAAUAUUUUUUGAUUUUGGUAGAUGAUUUUUCAAGGCUGAAAUUCACCUUCUUUCUAAAGACUAAAGGUGAAGUUUUUCAAAAACUUUCUGUUUGGCUGAAGUUAAUGAAGACACAGUUUCCUAAGUACCCGGUAAAAGCUUUUCAGAGUGAUCGUGGUGCUGAGUUUAUGUCCAAACAAAUGCAGAAUUUGUUUAAAAAGUUUGGUAUAGUCCACAGGUUAACAAAUCCUUACUCACCCAGUGAAAAUGGUGUUGCAGAAAGGUGGAUAGGCGUUGUAAAGGUUGUGGCUAGAAAAAUGCUAAGAGAUGCUAGUUUAUCUGAUGGAUUGUGGGCUGAAGCCGUGGCAAACGCUACUUAUGUGCUCAAUCGUUCGUUUUGUAGAAGUGUUAAUAGUAUUCCUUAUGUAUUGUUUUUUGGGAAAAUUCCUGAUUUGAGUUCAAUCAGAGUUUUUGGAAGUGACUCAUUUGUCUUAAUUCCUUCUCAACAAAGACAUAAAAAGGAUGCUAUCUGGAAGAAAUUGAAAUAUCUUGGCCCUGCAUCUGAAUCAAAAGGUUGGAGGUUUUGGUGUGGUGACAAUCGAGUGACUGUGUCUAGAAAUGUGAAGUUCCAACAAUAUAGUGGUUGGGAAAGGAUACAUUCAAAUAAGGAAGUGUUUGUGCCUUUUGAAACUGCUCAAAUGCACACACCUCAAGUCACACAGCCAACUACACAACAAGUUUCACAGCAGACUGCUACACAAACGAAUACACAGGUGCAAUCAGUGUCACAACAGACUGCACAGCAAAAUAUACAACCAAGCACUUCUCAAGAUACACAGUUGGGAACACAAGUGCGAGUGAAGCAAGAAUCUACUACUAGUCAGUUACAAGUUAGUAGUCCUGUGAUUAAACAAAGUGAAUCUCAAAAGAGAAAAGCUGAAGUUUAUAGUUCAGAAAGUACUAGCUCUAGUAAUUCUGAGAGUGAUGAAACUAAUGGAGGAGAUAGUACUAGGACCAUUCCUAGGCGCAGUUCUAGGAAAAACAAAGGUAUUCCAUCUUGUCUCUUUACAUUAGCUAGAGGCCCCAAUCUGCA
rnacentral:lncRNA from 1 species